rnacentral:rRNA from 1 species
AACGGCGAGUGAAGCGGCAAGAGCUCAAAUUUGAAAUCUGGCCUCCUACGGGGGUCCGAGUUGUAAUUUGUAGAGGAUGCUUCGGGUGUGGCCGCCGUCUAAGUUCCUUGGAACAGGACGUCAGAGAGGGUGAGAAUCCCGUCUUGGGCGGCCGGUCCGCGCCCGUGUGAAGCUCCUUCGACGAGUCGAGUUGUUUGGGAAUGCAGCUCUAAGCGGGUGGUAAAUUUCAUCUAAAGCUAAAUACUGGUCGGAGACCGAUAGCGCACAAGUAGAGUGAUCGAAAGGUUAAAAGCACCUUGAAAAGGGAGUUAAACAGCACGUGAAAUUGUUGAAAGGGAAGCGCUUGCGGCCAGACUCGGGGGCGGGGUUCAGCGGGCGCUCGUCGCCCGUGCACUCCCCGUCUCCCGGGCCAGCAUCAGUUUCGACGGCCGGUCAAAGGCCCCCGGAAUGUGUCGUCUCUCGGGACGUCUUAUAGCCGGGGGUGCAAUGCGGCCCGUCGGGACUGAGGAACGCGCUUCGGCUCGGAUGCUGGCGUAAUGGCCGUAAGCGGCCCGUCUUGAAACACGGACCAAGGAGUCUAACAUCCACGCGAGUGUUCGGGUGUCAAACCCGUGCGCGCAGUGAAAGCGAACGGAGGUGGGAGCCUUAGGGCGCACCAUCGACCGAUCCUGAAGUCUUCGGAUGGAUUUGAGUAGGAGCGUGGCCGUUGGGACCCGAAAGAUGGUGAACUAUGCCUGAAUAGGGUGAAGCCAGAGGAAACUCUGGUGGAGGCUCGCAGCGGUUCUGACGUGCAAAUCGAUCGUCAAAUUU